AAAAAUAAAGAAAAAAAAUGGAAAUGAAAAAAGAGAAUAUGUAGAAGUUUUUAAUUAGGAGAUUUAAAGAAACUCAGAAUUUAAAUGUCAAUUGUUUGUUAGUUUAACUUUAAAAAAAAUUAUUUAUAAUUUGACUUCAAAAAAAUUAUUUAAAAUUUAGGAUAUUUUUUUAAGAAUCUAAAUGAGGUUUUACCAUUGAGACUGCUUUUUUUUCUAGUGGUUAUACCGAUGCGGACAAGAACGCUAGGCUAGACUAUCGAAUUCUGGAAUCUCCUAUGAUUCUUUCUCUGUUUUUUUUUCUGUUUGUAAACCCAUUAAUGUGUGACAGCUUAACAUAUCAAUAGUCAUCCUUCUUUAAGCUACCUUAGAUCCAUUAGCCCAAACAGAUCCAUUCUGUUGUAAACGCUUAAAGUCCAAUUUAGGCCCAAUAGAGUUUCGGUAUAGACACGUUAAUUCCAUAACCUCUACCUUGUUUUCAUCAAAACUUAUCAUUUCAGACAACCCUCCAAAAGCUUAGUGAAUCUCUGACGAACUCCUUUUGUCUUCUACUCUUUUUCGACUUAUCUUGACGUCUCUCUUUCAUCACAUAUGAUGAAACUGAGCUACACAACACAGCUACACCUUCAAGAUAUCACAUUUUAUAUUCUUGUUUCAAUUUCUUUUCUUCCCAAGUCUGAACCGCCAAACUGACAACCCCUUCUUCCGACUUCCCUAACCCUUUAGGAUGACAAAGUUGCCGCAUAUAGGCUCAAGCUUCCGCUUACACCUCUGGUAAGAGAAUCAUCGAGACAUCUCAUCAGCCGCAUGUUGCAUGGAACCUGCGAACUUUGACAAACACCAAAUCCUUCUCCAGUGUCUUCCCAAGUACGGUCUUUGUUAGGAUAUCAGCUAGGUUUAGCGUAGUAUGAAUCUUUACCAUUAUCCUGCUUCCAUCGGCAAUUACAUUUCAAAUAAAAUUGAACUUUGUACGUAUGUGUUUAGUUCUUUUGUAAAAGCCUCUAUUCUUUACCAAAAA